rnacentral:rRNA from 1 species
UACGUAGGUGGCAAGCGUUGUCCGGAUUUACUGGGCGUAAAGAGCGCGCAGGCGGUCGUCCAAGUCGCGUGUGAAAGCCCCCGGCUCAACUGGGGAGGGUCACGCGAUACUGGUCGACACGAAGGCAGGAGAGGGUAGUGGAAUUCCCGGUGUAGUGGUGAAAUGCGUAGAUAUCGGGAGGAACACCAGUGGCGAAGGCGACUACCUGGCCUGUUCUUGACGCUGAGGCGCGAAAGCUAGGGGAGCAAACGGG